rnacentral:rRNA from 1 species
AUACGGAGGGUGCAAGCGUUAAUCGGAAUUACUGGGCGUAAAGGGCGCGUAGGCGGUCUAUCAAGUCAGGUGUGAAAUCCCACGGCUCAACCGUGGAGGUGCAUCUGAGACUGAUAGACUUGAGUAUGGGAGAGGAAAGUGGAAUUCCCGGUGUAGAGGUGAAAUUCGUAGAUAUCUGGAGGAACACCAGUGGCGAAGGCGACUUUCUGGACCAAUACUGACGCUCAGGCGCGAAAGCGUGGGGAGCAAACAGGAUUAGAAACCCUAGUAGUCC